rnacentral:rRNA from 1 species
AUAAGCGUAGAAGCGAGGAUGUCCGAAUGGGAGUUAUCCCACCAGAGUGGAGCUCUGGUAUAUACAGAAGAAAGAAGUAUUCUGUAUAGAAAAGCAGGGGAAGUGAAACAUCUAAGUACCCUGAGGAAAAGAAAUCAAACGAGAUUCCCUUAGUAGCGGCGAGCGAAGCGGGAAGAGUCCAAACAUAUAAAAUGUAAGACUGUAGUCGUUGUUUUAUAUGUGUUUAGGAUAAUCCAGUUGUUGCUACAGAGACAAGCGGGUUAAAUUAAUACUUUAGUUGAACGGUCUGGAAAGUCCGACCAAAGGAGGUAAUAGUCCUGUAAACGAAAAGGUAUUAAACCCGGGAUUAUCCCGAGUACCACGGGCCACGAGGAAUCCUGUGGGAAGAUGGGAGGACCACCUUCCAAGACUAAAUACUAACUGGUGACCGAUAGUGAACAAGUACCGUGAGGGAAAGGUGAAAAGAACCCCGGGAGGGGAGUGAAAUAGAACCUGAAACCGUAAGCUUACAAUGAGUAGUAGGGCUAUUAUAUAAGCCUGACUGCUUACUUUUUGUAUCACGGACCGGCGAGUUACUGUCUGUAGCGAGAGGUUAAGCCGCAAGCGGUGUAGCCAUAGCGAAAGCGAGUCUGAAGAGGGCGCAAGUUGCAGGUAGUAGACCCGAAUCCGGGUGAUCUACCCAUGUCCAGGGUGAAGAGUGAAACCCCGUGGAGGCCGAACCGCAUUGGUGUUGAAAAACCAUGGGAUGAGAUGUGGGUAGGAGUGAAAGGCCAAUCGAACCCGGAGAUAGCUGGUUCUCCUCGAAAUAGCUUUAGGGCUAGCCUCGAAUUGACUAAUAAGGCUGUAGAGCACUGAUUGGACUAGGGGCCCAACAAGGUUACCGAAUCCAUUCAAACUCCGAAGGCUUUAUUAGAGAUAUUCGGGAGUCAGACUAUGGGGGAUAAGCUUCAUAGUCGAAAGGGAAACAGCCCAGAUCACCAGCUAAGGUCCCCAAGUACAGGCUAAGUGGAAAAGGAAGUGAGAUCGCAGAGACAACCAGGAUGUUGGCUUAGAAGCAGCCACACAUUUAAAGAGUGCGUAACAGCUCACUGGUCAAGCGUUUUUGCGCCGAAAAUGUAAUGGGGCUUAAGCCUGUCACCGAAGCUGUGAAUUUUAGAGGUUGGAGGUUAGAGGCAUUACUGGAAAUUAGAAGUUAGAGGUUAGAAGUUAGAGAUGAGAUGAAGACAUUGACUUUAGUCAAUGUUAACAUUUAAUUCAACAUCCAACUUCCAGCUUCCAAUAUCUAGAAUGCUUCCAAUCUCCAACUUCUAGAAUGGUAGAGGAGCAUUGUAUACUGGCUGAAGCUGUACCGGAAGGAGCAGUGGACGGUAUACAAGAGAGAAUGCCGGUAUGAGUAGCGAGAAAGGGGUGAGAAUCCCCUUCACCGAAAGUCUAAGGUUUCCUGAGGAAGGUUCGUCCACUCAGGGUAAGCCGGGAACUAAGCCGAGGCCGAAAGGCGUAGGCGAUGAGAAAUCGGUAGAAAUUCCGAUGCCACUAUUAAGCAUUUGAGUGAAGUGGUGACGCGACAAAGAAGGCAAUCAUGGUAUUGGAUUACCAUGUAUAAGCUAAAAGCAGGGAUAAGGAGGUAAAUCCCUUUAUCUGUUAACUGCGGCUAGUGAUAUGGAGCCAUUAAGGCGAAGUUGCUGGAUGAGUAGCCAAGAAAAGCCACUAACGAGUUUGAUAGUGCCCGUACCGUAAACUGACACAGGUAGACAGGGAGAGGAUCCCAAGGUGAGCGAGAUAACCUCUGUUAAGGAACUCGGCAAAAUAGCCCCGUAACCUAGGGAGAAGGGGUGCCAUAGCUGCAUAGCAGUUAUGGUUGCAACAAACAGGCUCAGACGACUGUUUAGCAAAAACACAGGUCUCUGCUAAGUCGUGAGACGAAGUAUAGGGGCUGACGCCUGCCCGGUGCUGGAAGGUCAAGGAGAAGUCUUAGCGUAAAGCGAAGGAUUGAACCUAAGCCCCAGUAAACGGCGGCCGUAACUAUAACGGUCCUAAGGUAGCGAAAUUCCUUGUCG